AGAAAAAAUGUAUCUAAUUAGACCAAAUAUGUAUGUUAGCAUACUAAAAAUAACAACAAAAUAGAAUUAUCAAUUUUACGUUAAAUCCAUAAUUGAAUAAACAAGAGACAAAUAACUACUUUUGUAACGUUAAACAAGAUAUAAAUUUUUGUAACGUUAAACAAGAUACAAAAAAAUUUUGUCAGAUCUUUUUUGCAUAAAUAAGAUACAGAUCUUUUUUGUUAGAUCAAUUGCAAGGAAUGCUCAAUGACAUACCAUGCCAUAACUGAAAUAACAGUACACUUGUCCUUGUAGAUUUGCCCAACCUUAACUUCACUAUUUUUGCAACCUGUAAUGAUCUUGUUCCUCUUCAUAUCGAACAACGGCAACGAAAGGGGUUUGGGUGAUUAUGGUAUAAUAUCGUUAAUCCAAACGGCGAAAUGAUGUAAGAACACUGAAAUAUUCAUUGCAAUUGAUGAAAGAAAAUCAACAAAUAAAAAACAAGAGGUCCUAUGAGUUUUUUUUGAUGGAAUGUAUGAACUUUCAUUGCAAUUGAUGAAAGAAAUCGACGAAUAAAGAAAAAAGAGGUUGUGUGAAUUUUUUUGGUGGAACGUAUGAACUUUUUGCAACCUGAAAACUGAUUAUGGAAAGGUUCUUGUUUAAAAUGGUGGAAUAACAAACUAAUUACCAUAUAUCGUGG
rnacentral:lncRNA from 1 species